AGCGGUAACAGGUCCAGCUUGCUGGAUGCUGACGAGCGGCGGACGGGUGAGUAAUGCAUAGGAAUCUGCCCGAUAGUGGGGGAUAACCUGGGGAAACCCAGGCUAAUACCGCAUACGUCCUACGGGAGAAAGGGGGCUCCGGCUCCCGCUAUGGGAUGAGCCUAUGUCGGAUUAGCUAGUUGGUGAGGUAACGGCUCACCAAGGCCACGAUCCGUAGCUGGUCUGAGAGGAUGAUCAGCCACAUCGGGACUGAGACACGGCCCGAACUCCUACGGGAGGCAGCAGUGGGGAAUAUUGGACAAUGGGGGAAACCCUGAUCCAGCCAUGCCGCGUGUGUGAAGAAGGCCCUCGGGUUGUAAAGCACUUUCAGCGAGGAAGAACGCCUAGCGGUUAAUACCCGCUAGGAAAGACAUCACUCGCAGAAGAAGCACCGGCUAACUCCGUGCCAGCAGCCGCGGUAAUACGGAGGGUGCAAGCGUUAAUCGGAAUUACUGGGCGUAAAGCGCGCGUAGGUGGCUUGAUAAGCCGGUUGUGAAAGCCCCGGGCUCAACCUGGGAACGGCAUCCGGAACUGUCAAGCUAGAGUGCAGGAGAGGAAGGUAGAAUUCCCGGUGUAGCGGUGAAAUGCGUAGAGAUCGGGAGGAAUACCAGUGGCGAAGGCGGCCUUCUGGACUGACACUGACACUGAGGUGCGAAAGCGUGGGUAGCAAACAGGAUUAGAUACCCUGGUAGUCCACGCCGUAAACGAUGUCGACCAGCCGUUGGGUGCCUAGCGCACUUUGUGGCGAAGUUAACGCGAUA
rnacentral:rRNA from 1 species